rnacentral:lncRNA from 1 species
UAAGGCCAGGCUAUGAUCAAUUUUUGGAGUAUAAUUUUCAUGCGUAUGAUGUGCAUGAUGAUAAACUUAAAAGAAGGGAUAUUUUAUUAAACUAUGCUCCAAAAUAUUAGAAAAUGUUUGUGAUUUAUAGGUGUUAGCCAAUUACUAUUCUGUUCUUUUUUUAUUACCUCUUUUUUUAGGUCUUUACAUAUCAGAUGUCUCCAAACUAAUAUAAGAGCUAUUAUUUAGAGCUCUCUAAAUAAAAGAAAAUACAGGUUACCAAUUUAAAAGCACAUAUUUUUUACUGUAUUUUAUGUAUGAAUUAAAAAUAUUAUUUGUAUAUUACAUUGAGAAUUACUUCAACUGACAUGAAUGGAAAAAGAAAAUAUUGUGAGAUGCUUUGGAACAUUCUUGGGACAAUUGUACACUUGAUUAAAUACAAUGGAAAGGACAUUUCGUUAAGUGCAUAAAUUGGAUUCAGUGAACUGACCAGCACAAAGAAUUAUGUUGAAAAGCAUGAAAAAGUAACCAUGGUAGCAGCUCCAAGGAAGAUGGUUAAAUAAAUCUUCAACCAAGUCUGAGGCUUUACCAAGAAAAUAAGAAGGCAAGUUUAAUUAAGUCAAACAAGUUCUAUACAUUCUAUACAUUAUUUGAUAAAAAGUGUAUAUUUAGAGCAUACAACGCAGUUACAGUGGAGAAAGUGAUGUUGCUAACGUAAAAUGUUAUUUUUUGCCUUUCAAUGGGAGAUAACUCAUUGUAAAAUGUGCAGAUGAUUUACCUUUAUGAACAAUAAAAUAUGUUUAAACCAUUAUUUUUGUGGAGUUGAAAUUCAAUAAGUAAAUUUAUAAGACUUUUUUUUUAAUUUUUAAUUUUUCAUCUUUUACAUUGAUUUUACAGUUAUUGAUGUUAUACUUUUGUGUACACGUAGUCAGAAAUCCGAACAAUAUUGGUAAAUGUAGGGGAAAUGGAAAUAUAAAGUAUAUAAAUUGUCAAUUUUUAUAUUUUAGGUUCUUUCUGUGAGAUGUUUUCAUGGUGUGGGAAUAAGACUUGGUGGUCUAAUACAGCUAAUAUAUAGGUAGGUACCAGUAUACAGUUUCGAAAAGAAGAAAGAAAAAAAAGAUAAAUGUAGUACAUGUAUAAAAAUAAUUAGAUCCAUUUUUUCUUUCCUUGCCUUGAAAUAAUCAAACACUAAAUUUCUGUUAUUUAUUUCUACCCUCUCUUUUGAUAUCAGUACAAAUACAAUGUAUAGUGUAAAUUGAAGGAUCUAACAUGAUUAUUUGGUUUGUUAUGUUGUUGGAUUGCUGUCUAGUCAAUAUGUUCUCAACAUCUAGUACAUGAAUAUAACCCAUUUCUUUUUAAUUUUAAUACAGUAACAAGUGAUCCUUUUAAACCAUUUUAUUAAUAAUAUGACAACAUUUUAUAUUUCAGAUUAGCUUCACAGCUUGUCUGUAAGGAUUGAAGUUGGGAAUGGGCAUUGGAGCUGGCUUUUAUGGUAAGAACCAGUACAUAAAUUAAUGAAUUAUUCAGCAAAGAGCAUGUACAAACCUAGUUCUUCAUUAUGCUAAGAAGUUUUAUACUUUAAUUAUGCAGAGAAGUAGUAUACUUUAAUUUUUCUUAAAACUAUAAUCGUAUAUAUAAUCUGGAAGGAGGACAUUAGGAGGUAUGAAGAUAAAUAAAGGAAAUAAAAAAUUAUACUGUUACUUAGAAAAUCUGUUUUCUAAAAUUGUCCCAUAUAUAAAGUAAAGAAGAUCAUUGUCAAUGAAAUAACUCUCCCAGAGACCAAAUGACAUGGAUGUAAGCAACUAAUGGUCACUGUAUGGCCUACAACAAUGAGCAAAACAUAUACUUUACAAUUAACUA